AGAGUUUGAUCAUGGCUCAGAGCGAACAUUGGCGGCGCGUUUAACACAUGCAAGUCGAGCGAGAAAUCUCUUUCGGGAGAGAGUAAAGCGGCGAACGGGUGAGUAACGCGUAAGCGACCUAUCCUAAGGUCUGGGAUAGCCAUGGGAAACUGUGGGUAAUACCGGAUGAGAGUGAUUUUGAAUUACUUAAAAGUGUGGGACCGAUUUAUUGGCCACAUGCCAUAGGAGGGGCUUGCGUCCCAUUAGCUAGUUGGAGAGGUAACGGCUCACCAAGGCGAUGAUGGGUAGGGGGUGUGAGAGCAUGGCCCCCCACACUGGGAUUGAGAUACGGCCCAGACUCCUACGGGAGGCAGCAGUGGAGAAUCUUGCGCAAUGGGGGCAACCCUGACGCAGCGACGCCGCGUGGAUGAAGAAGGCCCUUGGGUUGUAAAGUCCUUUUCCAUCUGAGGAAUGAUGUAUAAUCUAAUAGGUUAUACAUGUGACGUUAGGAUGGGAAUAAGUCACGGCUAACUCCGUGCCAGCAGCCGCGGUAAUACGGAGGUGGCGAAUGUUGCUCGGAAUUACUGGGCGUAAAGGGUGCGUAGGCGGAUAAUCAGGUCAGUAGUGAAAACUACGGGCUUAACUUGUAGAGUGCUACUGAAACCGGUUAUCUAGAGUCAUGUAGGGGAUAACGGAACACCUGGAGUANCGGUGGAAUGCGUAGAUAUCAGGUGGAACACCGAUGGCGAANGCAGUUAUCUGGACAAGGACUGACGCUGAUGCACGAAANCUANGGGGANCAAACAGGAUUAGA
rnacentral:rRNA from 1 species